GUGGAUGAUGUGGUUUAAUUCGAUGCAACGCGAAAAACCUUACCCCCCUUUGACAUGUACGGAAGUUACCAGAGAUGGUUUCGUGCUCGAAAGAGAACCGUAACACAGGUGCUGCAUGGCUGUCGUCAGCUCGUGUCGUGAGAUGUUGGGUUAAGUCCCGCAACGAGCGCAACCCUUGUCAUUAGUUGCUACGAAAGGGCACUCUAAUGAGACUGCCGGUGACAAACCGGAGGAAGGUGGGGAUGACGUCAAGUCCUCAUGGCCCUUAUAGGUGGGGCUACACACGUCAUACAAUGGCUGGUACAGAGGGUUGCCAACCCGCGAGGGGGAGCUAAUCCCAUAAAACCAGUCGUAGUCCGGAUCGCAGUCUGCAACUCGACUGCGUGAAGUCGGAAUCGCUAGUAAUCGCGGAUCAGAAUGUCGCGGUGAAUACGUUCCCGGGUCUUGUACACACCGCCCGU
rnacentral:rRNA from 1 species